UAACUACAUGCCAUGAGAUGGGAUUACAUAUUCAAGACCUGCUGCCCACCACUGAGCCAUCUUCCGAACUUCUAUAUUAUUGUUAUUAUUAUCAUUACCAUUAUCAUCAUUAUUUUACCAGAGCCCUGCUCAGCUCUGGUUGAUGCUCAGCUCUGGCUUGAGGGAUUGAACCUGGGACCUGAGAACCUCAGGUCUUGCAUGUAAAGAGUUGGGUGAAAAUAGAAAAUGACUUAACUGUCCAUCAAGGAUUAAAUGUGACAUGUAGCAAGGUCUUCCACUUGAAAGAACUGAGUGAAAUUCCUUAGGAUUGUUUGGCAAAUCUUCAAUAAGUGAAUGCCUUCGUCACCUUCUGUGGUCCCAGAUCUACUGUGUCCUGGAAAAUUGCAUGAUCAGUAGUUCUUCCUUGCCAUCUCAGUACU